CAUAUCAAUAAGCGGAGGACUGUCUCUUAUACACCAUCUCCCCGAGCCCACGAGA
rnacentral:misc_RNA from 1 species